rnacentral:rRNA from 1 species
UACGAAGGGGGCUAGCGUUGCUCGGAAUGACUGGGCGUAAAGGGUGCGUAGGCGGCGCGGAAAGUAGGGUGUGAAAUCCCUCGGCUCAACCGAGGAACUGCGUCCUAAACUACCGUGCUCGAGGGAGAUAGAGGUGAGCGGAACUUAGGGUGGAGCGGUGAAAUGCGUUGAUAUCCUAAGGAACACCGGUGGCGAAAGCGGCUCACUGGAUCUCUUCUGACGCUGAGGCACGAAAGCUAGGGUAGCGAACGGG